rnacentral:lncRNA from 1 species
AUCGAGUCUGUAGUUAAAAGUGGGGGUGGGGUGGGAGAGGAGGCUUCGUAAUAGAAGCUUUGUCUAGGCUGAGUGGAGUACGUACCCUCUUAAUUAGGUGGUCAAAGCUCUUAUUGACCACACUUUUUUUCUCUUCAAAUUUUCGACUUGAUUAGCUUGUCAUGUAGUGACAUGAGUAUUUUAUUUCACUAAUAUGGUUAUUUUUGCUACUAGCUUGUUUCAAUAAUUUCCAGUUUGGUAGUAUCCAUUUGAGAAGAUGGUCUAGUCAGUCUCACAUGAAUUUGGUACUGAACUGAUUCGAAUCAUGUCUACAAAAAUAACCGCUGAUGCAGAAAACUCCACAAGUUAGCAACAAAUUUGUGUACAAAUUCAUUUUGAACUCGUCCCUACAAGAUAACAUAUGCAAAACCCCACAAAACAGUAUCAAAUUUGUGUCGAAAUUGGGCAGUUCUGCAGUAUCUGAAUUUGGUGGGUGUGCUGCUUACAUUUUUUUUUAGAAGUUGAUCUUGUGAUUCUGGUGAAGACAGUGAUGUCUAGUUCAAAUGUGACACUCCUAGGUCAGUGAAGUGGGGUCCCUUCACUUAAUUACUUUGGCAAAGAAGGGGCCUUUGGCCAGGCUAAUUAAGCUGGCAUGCAUGUUGCCUCACAGGCUUUUUGUAAUUUUCCUGCUAUGAUGAUUGUCCUGGAAACUAAAGUAUGGGUUUGAUGGAGUUGUCACAUGCAGUGUUGUACUACUAAUGCAAUGAUGGUUCUUGCAUUGCUUUGUGGUGGUACUCUACUCUCUUUUGAUUGAUUAGGGGAGUGCUCCGUAAUGAUGGAACGCUAGUGGUGGCAGUGGUCAAAUCAGGAGGGACAAAGAGCUGUUUAAAUUAGUGGUACUGCCUGCCAGUCCUCCCAAUACCAUUGUUAAAUAGGGUAAACCACUGGCUUCAACUUGUGUAUUUGUUAAUCAGGUGCACUGUGUGCAUCGCACCAUAUACGUGGAAAUGUUAGAAUACAUAUCGAGAUAACUACCUAUCUCUUUUCACAUCCCAAUCCCAAUCCUGCAUGACACUCGCCUUUUUGUUUUCAAUGUUUUUUCAUAAAAUUUUGUGAAAGAAUUAGAAUUCAUAUGAAGUUUCCCUAUGUGGAAAACAAAAAUUAUUUGUCUUUCUAUGCUGCAAUAAAGUAAAAUACUAUAGGAUUCAAUAGGCAUGACAUAAUUCAAUCAUAGAUUCAAACAACCGAUAAACGAAAAAUUCUAAACAAUUAGGAUCUGUCAUUUUUUUAUGAAAAUACUUUGAUAUAAAGGUUCUCUUAGGUUACACAUAACAUAUGCUUUGACAAGAACUUGUCAGUAACUGAGGUGUAUAGGAAAGGGUUUGAUCAAAUGCAUUUUAGGAGGACCCUUAUGGGGGGAUCAUUAGAAUUGUGGAAUCACAUUUAAGGAUGUGUUUGUGCUGACAUUAGUCUAAACAAUGAAAAAGACACUAUCAAGUGGACUUUGACAAAAAAAUGGUAAUAUACUCUGUUAAAUGCUACUACGGGAAAUAGAUUGAAAAUGACAUUCGAUACCUACACAACUUUAUGUGGAAAACAAAAAUUCCAUAGGAUGUGAAGAUUUGCAUGUCGCUAGUUCUUAGAAUCAAUAUCCUAACCAUAGACAACUUGAUUAGAAGAGGAUGGAUUGGCAGCAAGCAGGGCUUGCCCUUUCCGUGGUUCAGAUGAAUCUACUGAUCAUCUGUUCAUGAAAUGAUCCUUGGCUUGGAUGUUGUGAAAUAUUUUUAAAAUGUGCUUUCAAUUUGAUUUACACUCCUGACAAUAUUGAUGCUUUGCUCAAUACUUGGUUAAAUAAUUUUAGAGCUGAUCACAAACAUCUGAUGUGUACUGGAGUGCAUAUGGUCUUUUGGACCAUUUGAAAAUAAGAAAUAGUACCAUAUUAGACAAUGCAAAAAUUACUGACCCUUCUGUCUCUAUGAAUAUGAUUGGUAUAUGGCUUAAUGAUUGGAUUGUUUUGCAGGAAAAGCAGGAAAAAGAAGAAAAAUAAAAAGGUGAAGUGGGUGGUAAAAAUGCUCGAGCAGACAUCAAGUGAAGUGUUUCGUGCAGUCUAUGGAUGGCGUUUUGGUGUGCUCACGAUACAAUGAAGAUAUGUGGAAGUGUAAAGAUGAUGAAGGAAGCUACUUUGCGAAAGUAUCCUUCUAAUCCCCAGCUUAAAUGCUCCUGCUAUGAACGGUAAAAUUGAAAAAAAAAUAUGGAAAAUAUUCAAAAAGAAAAAUCUGACUUUCUUGGGGCAAACUUUAAGAAAUGAUUGGAUUGCAUGCAAAUUUUCAUCACGAAUCACAUUGGAGCAAGUCGUGGCCAAAAAAACAGAAUCAGAGCUCCAAAAUGAGUUUGAAAAAAAAGGUGUCUCUUUGCCCGGUAGUGCACCGGCAGCGGCGGCGAGGGUAGGAGGCUCAUACUCGAUGCGCAACCCGAGCUGCCCUCGAGGAUGCCGAUCCCAUUUUUAUCCUUCGAAAAACAUGUGAAAAGAACGUAGAUAAAAUCCAAUACCUGCGGAUGUACCAGCGCUGAAAUUUAAGAGGGUUUGAUCAGGCAGACCCCAGCGCGGUACGAAAGGGACAUUGAUUUUCAAACCGGGGGACGACACUGUUCCCGGGCUGUUGGCUGUAACUGCGACAGUACUGGGGACGGUACUAAUUAGAGAUGCAGUCGUGUACUGUUACUAGUUGGGAACAGCGGGUUCUUCAUGUACGUCAGACAAAGCAGCACCGGCGUACAGUACGUGCGUACAACGUGCGCUCUUCAACGCGUACACGGCCCCGGCAAAGAGAGAAAAAUGACAUCCUUUUCUGAAGAAUGUUGUGUGAUACAUUUUGUUUUCUGAACGUCUGCGCAUCACUAUAGACAUGUUGCAUGGAAAAAAGACGGACAGUCAUCAUAUACGAAAGCUCUCUCUACACUAUACGCCGCUUGACGUCGAAAUCGAAUGUUGUCAUACCCGUGGACGUUGUACGAGCGACGCUGCGGCGGCGCAGGAGUCGAUCCUAACGGGAUCUAGCUGGUCGCGGUCGCGGGCAGCGCGGGUGCGCCGCUUGCACUGUGCAGGCGCGCAGCGCGUGGAGUCGACGAGUAAAACAAUUGUGCCGCCGUCCGAUGGAUCCCCGGGGAGCCGGAGGAUGGCAUGGCUGGCUGCCCGGCCGCGGCUUUGACUGACUGACACGCGUCGGACGCCGCCGCGCCGUCUCGUGAUCUCGUCGGCAUGCGCCCCCGUGCACCUUCUCGGGGCGAGGCGGGGCGCCGCAGGCUCGCCCGAUCCGUCCAAGCGGAACGACACGCGCGCGCGCGCCUGGGGCCGGGCGCCGUUCCGCACGCAGUUUGACCGCUCCGCUCGCGCAGCAGAAUCUCGUAUACUUCUACGUACUCGUACACGCCUCGCCGCGGCUCUGUCCCGAACCUGACGCGCGGGCGGGGCGGGGCGGGGCGGCCGAGAGGGCACAGCAGCGGGCGAGCGGGCCGGCCGGCCGGCGGCGAGAAACAUCACGGAGGGGAAUUGAUGGCGUGCAGGUGGGCGUGUCAGAGCGCGCUCUGGCGCGCGCGCUGGUGGCAGAGCCUGCAUCGAUUGCGGCAUGGGAUUUGUUCUCUAGCGUGUGGCUCUUGCGGGAGGGCCUGUGCGUGCUCGACGGUACCACCACUCCUGCGAGCCCUGCAGCAGAUGCAAACGUACUACGUAUGCGUGAUGAAACCAUCCCAUGCAUGAUGAGGAUCUAGCUAGGUGCUACAGCGCCAGCGGCCGCCCGUGAUCCAUCCAUCAAGAGGGACAAGCCUGGCAGGCGGCUUCAAUGCCGAUGGACGGCAUGGCAGAGCGCGCGCAGAGGCUGGCGAAGGGCCGAUGCGCGCAUUGACGCCGCUCCCUUCUCUUCCGCGACUGUGUUCGUUCGUUCGUCUAAAUCGUGUCUGAAUUUUUAUACGUACGUACUAGUGCAUGAGUAUGAAUGAUGAUCGGCAAGAGGUCCUGCUGCGUGCCUGUCCAUUUCUAGCUGCCUUAAGUCAAGUGUUCUUAAGGGGAUUUUUCUUGCCUUAAGCCUGAUGGAACCGAACCGAAAUUCCCGGCCGUGCCCGGGACACGACAGUAAGCUUUCCUUGUACAGUGUUGCCAACAGCUUGAUGAUGACAAAUUAUGUUAGGUUUGACGAUUUUUUUUUGAAACUAUGAUGAUUUUUAUAGCAAAUUCGGAAACUAUACACCCUAAUGGAGAAAAAUCAAAAGUAUCACCCCGUUGGCCUCCUGUUGGCCGAAAAGGGAUUUUUCGGCCUCCUGUUGGCUAAAGAGAGACUUUUCGGCCAACCGUUGGCCAAAAAGGACUUUUCGGCCAACAAUUGGCCAAAGAGUCCCUCUUCAGCCAACAAUUGCUCUACUUUUUUAAAAAAUCAUAUCAAAUAGGAUUUUUAGUAUUUUAAUUUGAAUCUUUUUGCAUUAGAUUAGAAAUUUUAUGAAGUUUCUGUAGAUAUCAAGUUUGACUAGAUUUGAAAGUUUGAAUUUGAAUUUUCAUGAAUUUUCUCAAAUCACUAGAUUGCCUAUAAUUUGAGUUAGGAGUAUUCUUUUUAGAUGAUUCUUUUUGCUACUGGUUCUUUGUGAAUUUGUUUAUCAGUAGUAAUUAAUUGGCGAAUUUAAUAAUUAUUUAAAAUUAGGUUUUUAUGAAAACAGUUCUGUUUUAGUGUUUUAUAGGUUUUAUGCUAUUUCUUUUAAUUUUAAUUGCUUUUAAUUUUUUCUUUAGUUUUUUUGACAUAUUCUUUUUGUUUCUGUUUAGUUAUUAGUAGCUAUUUUAUUUGUAGUAUUGUUUUUGUAUUUUAUUUCUUUUAUCCUACUAGAAAACUUGUUUUGAGCUUCAUAGGAGUUUAUAUUUAAAAGUGCCUUGUAAAUCCUGUACAACCAUUGCCGUUUUAUACAUGAAAAAAAUACUUUCCCGCAAUCUUUUUCUCUCCAUUUUCUUUGCCGCCAUUUACUUUUCCGCCAUUCUCUCCCGCCAUACUAAGGAGUGCUGCAUCGACGGAGGAUGACGAUGAUGCCUUCAUGUGGAGUGUGAAACACUGUGUGAGAGAAGUCAUAAGUGUGAAACACUCUCCGAUGAUGAUGACGAAGCUACAAACACUUAUGACUUCUCUCAGACAGUGUUUCACACUCCACCAGCAGCACCGAUGCAGGAGACACGGACCGUGUCAGACGAUGUUAUCUACGAUCGUGGACACCAUGAGGCUCGUUUUAUAAGUUGAGAAGUGAAGAUGGCGAGAAAGAAGAUGGCGGGAAAGAACAUGGUGGGAGAGAAUGGCGGGAAAGAAAAUGGAGGGAGAGAAUGGCGGGAAAUAAAAUGGCGGGAGAAAAUGGAGGGAGAGAAUGGCGUAAAAACCUAAUUUUAAAUAAUCCUAAAAUUCACCAAUUAAUUACUACUGAUAAACAAAGUCACAAAGAACCAGUAGCAAAAAGAAUCAUCUAAAAAGAAUACUCCUAGCUCAAAUUAUAGGCAAUUUAGUGAUUUGAGAAAAUUCAAAUUCAAACUUUUAAAUCUAGUCAAACUUGAUAUCUACAGAAACUUCAUAAAAUUUCUAAUCUGAUGCAAAAAAAAUCAAAUUUAAAUACUAAAAAUCCUAUUUAAUAUGAAUUUUUUAAAAAGUAGAGCAACUGUUGGUUGAAGAGGGACUCUUUGGCCAACUGUUGGCCGAAAAGUACUUUUUGGCCAACGGUUGGCUGGAAAGUCCUUUUUGGCCAACGGUUGGCCGAAAAGUCUUUCUUCGGUCAACGAGAGGCCGAAAAGUCCCUUUUCGGCCAACAGGAGGCCGACGGGUGAUACUUUUGAUUUUUCUCCAUUAGGAUGUAUAGUUUUCGAAUUUGCUAUAAAAAUCAUCAUUGUUUAAAAAAAAAAUCAGGUUUGACACGGCAGGGAAGAUCCAUCUUUUCUUGUUAGAUUAGAUCUGGGGCUGGUCGACCGACCGAUCCGCGCUGACAAGACUUUGAUGCAUUGUACACUGUACAACGUUGUUGCUCCCUGAAGCAAUUAAUUGCAGCACUAGGUACUUACUGUACUAGUAAUAGUGUGCAUGUGGGUCGUGUGGUCUAUAAUCACAAGGCACGCAGAUUAGAUCGAUUCCCUUCCCAAAAGACCUACGUCCUUCAUCUCGGAAUCAUUCCUUCCACCUCUCCUGCCGGACGUGGAUGCACAGCACAAAAGGAUACGAUAUGCCCCCAAGUCGAUCGUAGCCAUGAGCAUACGGUUUGACCAGUGAACAUGCCUCCUUUACUUACUUCCUAGUAGUAUCAAAUGCUGCAAAUAGGAAUGCUACGGGUGCAGCAGGCCGGAACCCCGAGCCAGUGCAUGCAUGUGCAACCAAAGCAAUUGACCCGUACUCAAUUUUUUUGAUGCCAAAGGUACUACAGUAAAUAGCAGUACUACGCGGGGUGGCCAGCCCAAGCAUAAUGCAAAUAUGCAAAUAUGCAAUGAUCAGAACACGCAUCAGCAAAGCAGGCAGCUGAUGAGUGAGUGAGGAGAGAUCUCAUUCUCAUUCUCACCUCGAGAGGUGAUUGGCGAGAUCUCAGCCUGAGACGUGAUUGGCAAACGGCAAUGACUUCAUUACAUCCAGGAAAAAGAUGCCGUGCAGUGCAAAGCUGACAUGGAGCUGAAAGCACAGCCUCGUCUCAAUGAAGAAAGAUUGACAUGGAAUGAUGAAGGGCAUGAUUGCCGGGGUUGAAAGUUUGUGGCCUUGGACAAAGCGAAAUAUGAUGUUGGGCAGCGGUUUGGGCCAGGAGGUGCCGAAACCGGACUGGUGGCCCAAAAGGAGCUUCCGCGCCGGGGAAGGCCGUUGGCCCAGUUGGCGUAACAUGACCAAGGACGCAGGCCCAAUCACUCAAGAAAAAAAAAA